rnacentral:rRNA from 1 species
UACGGAGGGGGCAAGCGUUGUUCGGAUUUACUGGGUGUAAAGGGUGUGUAGGCGGUUUUGUAAGUUAGAUGUGAAAGCUAUGGGCUCAACCCAUAAACUGCAUUUGAUACUGCGAGACUAGAGUACGGUAGAGGGAGAUGGAAUUCUAGGUGUAAGAGUGAAAUCUGCAGAUAUCUAGAGGAACACCAGUUGCGAAGGCGAUCUCCUGGGUCGAUACUGACGCUGAAACACGAAAGCUAGGGGAGCAAACGGG